rnacentral:rRNA from 1 species
CCUACGGGAGGCAGCAGUGGGGAAUAUUGCGCAAUGGGCGAAAGCCUGACGCAGCGACGCCGCGUGAGGGAUGAAGGUCUUCGGAUCGUAAACCUCUGUCAGCAGGGAAGAACGGUCACUGUGCUAAUCAGCAGUGAAUUGACGGUACCUGCAAAGGAAGCACCGGCUAACUCCGUUCCAGCAGCCGCGGUAAUACGGCGGGUGCGAGCGUUAAUCGGAAUUACUGGGCGUAAAGCGCUCGUAGGCGGUAUGUCAAGUCAAGGGUGAAGUCCCCGCGCGAAACGUGGGAACUGCCUUUGAAACGGGCAAACUGGAGUGUGUGAGAGGAUAGUGGAAUUCCAGGUGUAGGAGUGAAAUCCGUAGAUAUCUGGAGGAACAUCAGUGGCGAAGGCGACUAUCUGGCACAUAACUGACGCGGAGGAGCGAAAGCGUGGGUAGCAAACAGGAUUAGAUACCCUGGUAGUC